GGUUCGCACUCCUCUCAGCUGAGAUGACAGAAGCAGGGCAUUCUGAGUGCCACUUCUCGUGCUCAAACUAUAUGGAUUAUCUUCCAACUCUGAACAUGCUGCAGGAACAAAAGAUAUGCACUGGAACUCCAAUACUCACUUUAGGAAGAAUAUAAAUGAUUUGGAUUCAUUUCCCAGUAUGAAGGGCUCUGCAAGAAGCUGAAGAAGCCAGAAAGAAUUAGAAAGCACAACCACAAACAGUAUUAACAGAAAUAUUGUAUAAUAAGCAGGGCAAAUCAUCCCUUCAUUCAGAUGGCAAUUACAUCACUGGUAACGCAACGCUUUCCUGCUUUCAGCAGCGCUACAAAGAUAACCUCCCUGCGAUGAAUAUAUUUUGAGCAAUUUUUCCCGUGUGCUGGCCUGAACCAGUCUUUUCUUUGAUGCUAGACAUAAAUGUCCUACUGUAACUCUUGUCUUGCUCUUGCAUAAAUAAACCAUCUACCGGCACUGGAAAG
rnacentral:lncRNA from 7 species